GCGCGGCUGUGCCCGCGGCUUAUUUUUGGCACACGGAGGCUCCUCGCAAAGUCUCGCGCCAUUCCGAGUCCGGCGGACGAAGUUGGCCAGCCCCACCCCCCAAGGCUAUAGCCCACCCGUUUUUGUGUCCUUUUUCCGCUGGACGAACUUGGUGCCCCGGUCUUCGGGCGGUUAUUUUUGGGCGCUUCUGUGCCCGAGCCCUAUUUUUGGCACACGGAGGCGCCUCGCAAGCUCUCGCGCCAUUCGGAGUCCCACAGACGAAGUUGGCCAGCCCCUCCCCCCAAGGCUAUAGCCCACCCGUAUUUGUGGCCUUUUUCCGCUGGACGAACUUAGCGCCCCGUCCUUCGGGUGGUUAUUUUUGGGCCCGGCUGUGCCCGCGGCCUAUUUUUGGCACACGGAGGUGCCUCGCAAACUCUCGCCCCAUUCCGAGUCCGGCGGACGAAGUUGGCCAGACCCACCCCCCAAGGCUAUAGCCCACCCGUAUUUGUGGCCUUUUUCCGCUGGACGAACUUGGCGCCCCGCCCUUCGGGCGGUUAUUUUUGGGCGCGGCUCUGCCCGCGGCCUAUUUUUGGUACACGGAGGUGCCUCGCAAAGUCUCGCGCAAUUCCGAGUCCGGCGGACGAAGUUGGCCAGCCCCACCCCCCAAGGCUAUAGCCCACCCGUAUUUGUGGCCUUUUUCCGCUGGACGAACUUGGCGCCCCGGCCUUCGGGCAGUUAUUUUUGGGCGAGGCUGUGCCCGCGGCCUAUUUUUUGCACUCGGAUGUGCCUCGCAAAGUAUCGCGCAAUUCCAAGUCUAGCAGACGAAGUUGGCCAGCCCCUCCCCCAAAGGCUAUAGCCCACCCGUUUUUGUGGCCUUUUUCCGCUAGACGAACUUGGCGCCCCGGCCUUCGGGCGGUUAUUUUUGGGCGCGGCUGUGCCCGCGGCCUAUUUUUUGCACACGGGGGAGCCUCGCAAAGUCUCGCGCCAUUCCGAGUCCGGCAGACGAAGUUCGCCAGCCCCACCCCCCAAGGCUAUAGCCCACCCGUAUUUGUGGCCUUUUUCCGCAGGACGAACUUGGCGCCCCGGCCUUCGGGCGGUUAUUUUUGGGCGCGGCUGUGUCCGCGGCCUAUUUUUUGUACACGGAGGUGCCUCGCAUAGUCUCGCGCCCUUCCGAGUCCGGCGGGCGAAGUUGGCCAGCCCCACCGCCCAAGGCUAUAGCCCACCCGUUUUUGUGGCCUUUUUCCGCUGGACGAACUUGGCGCCCCGGCCUUCGGGCGGUUAUUUUUGGGCGCGGCUGUGCCCGCGACCUAUUUUUGGCACACGGAGGUGCCUCGUAAAGUCUCGCACCAUUGCGAGUCCGGCAGACGAAGUUGGCCAUCCCCACCCCCCAAGGCUAUAGCCCACCCGUAUUUGUGGCCUUUUUCCGCAGGACAAACGUGGCGCCCCGGCCUUCGGGCGGUUAUUUUUGGGCGCGGCUGUGUCCGCGGCCUAUUUUUGGCACACGGAGGCGCAUCGCA
rnacentral:lncRNA from 1 species